CAAGACUAUCAAUGCUCUCUUAAACAUAAAGCUCCCCUAUUCAAACGGCUAUGAACAUGCAAACGACAAACUUGAACAGUAUGUUUAUUUAAAUGCUGGAAAAUCCAGUCUGGUUGCCAAAUGCCACUUUAAGACAGAACGUUGCUGUUCAGGACCCCAAGCAGAUGCGCAUUUAAUCAGAUCGCUGCAAUAUGAAGACUAAAUUCCCAACGAGAUAUUGCUGAAAGGUUCAAAGUUUUACCAAUAUA